rnacentral:rRNA from 1 species
UUUGAUGGCGACCGGCGCACGGGUGAGUAACACGUAUCCAACCUGCCGAUGACUCGGGGAUAGCCUUUCGAAAGAAAGAUUAAUACCCGAUGGCAUAGUUCUUCCGCAUGGUAGAACUAUUAAAGAAUUUCGGUCAUCGAUGGGGAUGCGUUCCAUUAGGUUGUUGGCGGGGUAACGGCCCACCAAGCCUUCGAUGGAUAGGGGUUCUGAGAGGAAGGUCCCCCACAUUGGAACUGUGACACGGUCCAA